AGGGCAAGGCGUGACAGCAUUUGGGAGAUGUAUAGUCCUCUUAUGAGGCUAGUUAUCUGGAAAGUAGUUAGUAAUGAGAAUAGAAAGGUGCCGUCCUACUAAGGAUUGAACGCUAUAUAUAUUCUGUAAGGGUGAUGACCUUCUAUAUUAUCUAAAGCAGGAUGACUUUUGUAUAAUAUGUGAAGAGAUAACCUAUGUAAUGGUGUUAUUAUUAUGAUUAUUAUUAAUUAUAAUAGUUAUUUAUAGAAUAUUAGAGAGAUAAGACCGACUACGUUGGAUAAAAUUCAAGAUAAAAGACUGAUAAUGACAAUUUUUUAUUUAAGUGUCUUGACUAAAUUACGUGCCAGCAGUCGCGGUAAUACGUAGAAGACUAGUGUUAUUCAUCUUUAAUAGGUUUAAAGGGUACCUAGACGGCACUAUUUACCCUCACAAGAGGGCAAGGUUUUGCUAGAGUUUUAUAUGAGAAGGGGAGUACUUGUAGAGUAGAGUUGAAAUGCUGUCAUACUAUGAGGACUGACAAUGGCGAAAGCGACCUUUUAUCUAAAAACUGACGUUGAGGGACGAAGGCUUGGGUAGCGAAUAGGAUUAGAUACCCUAGUAGUCCUUGCUGUAAAUGAUGAAUGUCAUAGACUAGAUAUUUAUUUGGUUUAUAAAUGAAAGUGUAAGCAUUCCACCUCAUGAGUAAUGUGGCAACGCAGGAACUGAAAUCAUUAGACCGUUUCUGAGAACAGUAGUGAAGUAUGUUAUUUAAUUCGAUGACCCACGUAAAACCUUACCACAACUUGAAUGUCAAACGUGAAUAAGGAAGUAAAAAUAAAGCCAACUAACCAUUGGAUGCAUGCUUGAUAACACACCUUUUUUUUUAGCGUUUACGCUCGUUUACGCUCGUUUACGCUAAAGAAAAAAGUGUAAUGCAAGAGAGAGCCUUAGGUAGUUAGCCAGGGAAAUGUUGCAAUACAUUUCAAUGUCAAAUUAGACAUGGGUAACCUGUUAAUGUUGAAAUACAUUACGUUUACGUGUAGCCUAAAAAACUACAUUUACCUGGAAGAUGUUGAAAUACAUUUAAAUGUAGAAAUACAUUUGACACGGUUGAUACACGCGUUGCACGGUUGUCUUUAGCUAAUGUCGUGAGAUUUUGGUUAGCUCCAUAAAAUUAGCGUAAACCCCGGUUCUAUUUAAAAAAAUUAAUAAUACAAUAAUAUUAUUAUUGUGAUAGAGCAGUUCAUCACUAUAUUGAAUACAUAAAGAGAUAACAGGGACGAUGACAAAAUCCAUCCAGGGCCU
rnacentral:rRNA from 1 species